AUUGAACGCUGGCGGCAUGCUUUACACAUGCAAGUCGAACGGCAGCGCGGGGCAACCUGGCGGCGAGUGGCGAACGGGUGAGUAAUACAUCGGAACGUACCCAGAAGUGGGGGAUAACGUAGCGAAAGUUACGCUAAUACCGCAUACGUUCUACGGAAGAAAGUGGGGGACCGCAAGGCCUCAUGCUUUUGGAGCGGCCGAUGUCUGAUUAGCUAGUUGGUAGGGUAAAGGCCUACCAAGGCGACGAUCAGUAGCUGGUCUGAGAGGACGACCAGCCACACUGGGACUGAGACACGGCCCAGACUCCUACGGGAGGCAGCAGUGGGGAAUUUUGGACAAUGGGCGCAAGCCUGAUCCAGCAAUGCCGCGUGAGUGAAGAAGGCCUUCGGGUUGUAAAGCUCUUUUGUCAGGGAAGAAACGGCUGAGGUUAAUACCUUCGGCUAAUGACGGUACCUGAAGAAUAAGCACCGGCUAACUACGUGCCAGCCGCCGCUGUAAAAC
rnacentral:rRNA from 1 species